rnacentral:rRNA from 1 species
UUUCGAAUCUUUCACAAUGGGCGAAAGCCUGAUGGAGCAACGCCGCGUGGGGGAUGACGGUCUUCGGAUUGUAAACCCCUGUCACCAAGGACUAACCGUCUCGUGUUAAUACCACGAGGCCUGAAUUAACUUGGAGAGGAAGGAGUGGCUAACUCUGUGCCAGCAGCCGCGGUAAUACAGAGACUCCAUACGUUAUUCGGAUUCACUGGGCGUAAAGGGUGCGCAGGCGGCCAGGUGUGUCAGAGGUGAAAGCCCGCAGCUUAACUGUGGAACAGGCGUUGAAACUAUCUGGCUAGAGUAUCGUAGAGGUAAGCGGAAUUCCAUGUGUAGCAGUGAAAUGCGUAGAUAUCUGGAGGAACACCAAUGGCGAAGGCAGCUUACUGGACGAUUACUGACGCUCAGGCACGAAAGCGUGGGGAGCGAAAGGGAUUAGAUACCCCCGUAGUCC